rnacentral:tRNA from 1 species
CGGACGGAAGCCCGCUGGAUUGGGUGUUUAGCUGUUAAUUAAUUUUUUGCGGGAUCGAGGCCCGCCUGUCUAG